rnacentral:rRNA from 1 species
CAAGUCGAACGAUGAACCUUAGCUUGCUAGGGGGAUUAGUGGCGAACGGGUGAGUAAUAUAUCGGAACGUACCUUGUAAUGGGGGAUAACUAGUCGAAAGAUUAGCUAAUACCGCAUACGCCCUGAGGGGGAAAGUAGGGGAUCUUCGGACCUUACGUUAUAAGAGCGGCCGAUAUCUGAUUAGCUAGUUGGUGGGGUAAUGGCCUACCAAGGCGACGAUCAGUAGCUGGUCUGAGAGGACGACCAGCCACACUGGAACUGAGACACGGUCCAGACUCCUACGGGAGGCAGCAGUGGGGAAUUUUGGACAAUGGGCGAAAGCCUGAUCCAGCCAUUCCGCGUGAGUGAAGAAGGCCUUCGGGUUGUAAAGCUCUUUCGCAAGGGAAGAAAACUUACAUUCUAAUAAAGUGUGAGGCUGACGGUACCUUGAUAAGAAGCACCGGCUAACUACGUGCCAGCAGCCGCGGUAAUACGUAGGGUGCGAGCGUUAAUCGGAAUUACUGGGCGUAAAGCGUGCGCAGGCGGUUUUGUAAGUCAGAUGUGAAAUCCCCGAGCUCAACUUGGGAACUGCGUUUGAAACUACAAGACUAGAAUAUGUCAGAGGGGGGUAGAAUUCCACGUGUAGCAGUGAAAUGCGUAGAGAUGUGGAGGAAUACCAAUGGCGAAGGCAGCCCCCUGGGAUAAUAUUGACGCUCAUGCACGAAAGCGUGGGGAGCAAACAGGAUUAGAUACCCUGGUAGUCCACGCCCUAAACGAUGUCUACUAGUUGUUGGUGGAGUAAAAUCCAUGAGUAACGCAGCUAACGCGUGAAGUAGACCGCCUGGGGAGUACGGUCGCAAGAUUAAAACUCAAAGGAAUUGACGG